CCCUUAGAUGUUCUGGGCCGCACGCGCGCUACACUGUUCGACGCAGCGAGUCUUAACCUUGACCGAAAGGUUUGGGUAAUCUUCAGCAAAGUCGAACGUGAUGGGGAUCGAUCAUUGCAAUUAUUGAUCGUGAACGAGGAAUUCCUAGUAAGUGCAAGUCAUCAGCUUGCGCUGAUUACGUCCCAGCCCUUUGUACACACCGCCCGUCGCUACUACCGAUUGAAUGGUUUAGUGAGAUCUCUGGAUUGACGCUGGCUAGGGGGCGACCCUUGGCCAGACUGUUGAGAAACUGCUCAAACUUGAUCAUUUAGAGGAAGUAAAAGUCGUAACA
rnacentral:rRNA from 1 species